AGCGGGGGUCCCGCAGGGCCCUCGAGGGCGGCUGGCGGCAGGAAAAGUGCAGCCGCUCCACCCCCGCGGAAGCUCCUCGGGAGGAAUCCCGGAGCGCCCCAGAUCCGCCAUCCCCGCGCACACGCACCCUCACACCCCCGCCCGGCCGGAGACACGGCCGGGGGAGGAGGGAGGGGGUCUCCUACCGUCCUUGCUCGCCAUGUCGGGUGAGACCCAGUGCCGCCAGGUUUUAAAUACUGAGAACCACAGCCCUGCAGAAUGUGUAUUACUGGAUAUAUGCUACGUCAGACGUCUGUGCAGCUUUUUACUUUGGGAGGCAGAGGCAGAACCUGGGGCCAGAGGAGCUGUGGGUUCACAGCAUGUUACAGACAUCAUGUAAGGAAAGAAGGAGCAGGCAGAUAGAGGAUCUGCUGAGAACAAUUUUCCUUGUAGAUGUGUUCCCAUCCCUCUCUCGAAGCUUCUCCCAUGUGCAGACUUCUGAUGCACAUGUACAUGACACUCUGCUAAGGAAUACUGGAAAUCCUGUAGCACCAAAGAGCUGAACAUCUUAAUGUCCAACAACCUCACAAGAUAUGGCCUGUAUCUCACAAGACUGCUGUAUGAUUAGAAAAUAUUUUCUUUGUACUUCUGCCAAAGAAUGUCUGCAAGGUUGCACAGCAAAUGUAGCAAAGGAACACGUAGAUCUUUCCCUGGCAGCAUUUCUGGGCUCAGCUUUCAAGUAUCUGAUGAUAUGACCUUUAGGAACCAUCGCCCUUCAAUACAGUAAGGUUUGCUGUAUUCUGGUUGAAACCGGGUGUUUGGAUAGUGGCUGAAGGCUUUGUGAAAUCCCUAAGUGAAAGGACAAAUGAUAGAGGAACAACAUUUUCUAAUGCUUGGUUUGUUGAGUGACCUUUUGCAUCUGUCAAAUAAAAAA